rnacentral:lncRNA from 1 species
CUGGCUGGAUGAGUUUAGCCUUUGGUUACAUUCACGCCAAGGCUUGUGUUUAUAAUAUCACCCUUUUGUAAAUAGUUAAUUUAGGUGAUUAAUCACAGCUGGCCUUUGCAUCUUUUUAGAUUGUAGAUUUAAUUUUUUGUUUCUUUAUGACGGGCCACAGUGGGCGUGAUUCUCCCGUCACUCUCGUAAACAGGUAUGUAUGUUUAGGUAUAGUUAGGUUUUUAAGAGUUUAGAGAUUACGUUUUUAUUCCCAGCAUGUUUGAGACACAAGAGGCAUCAGCAGAGGAUGAAGACUUCUAUCAAUCAAAACUAUUGUCCCACAAUCAGCCCCAGGAGGAGACGCCAGCAGAGGAAAGAAACAAUAUUAACCAAAACAAUAUUUCACUGAUUGAGAACAAGGAAGAUGGAAGAGUACCAUCAUCUACCAAUGGAGGAGGAGGAGGAGAAAAAUGCGGGAGCACCAGCAUCCAAAAGUGUCCCACAAUCAGCCCCAGGAGGAGAUAUCAGCAGAGGAAAGAAACAAUAUUAACCAAAACAAUGUAA